CGGAAGUGGCGGCUGGAGCGGGAGAGCUGAGGUGUCGGCCGGCGGGGCUGCGGCCGGGAGAGGGGGGGCGGGUGCGUUGGUCAUGUUUACCUUCGGGCCGGGUAGUCCCGAAGGGGAUGGGACGGCCGGAACGGGGGAUGAGGAGCCGGCACCCCGUGCGGGGCAAGUGGCAGCCACCGGGCCGCUCCCCUCCUCGCCCGCGCCUCCGCAGCCCGGGGCUGACGCAGCCCCUCCCCCGUCGCCCUCCCGGAGCCCUCGCCGCCCCGGGGCACCCUCGCUGCCCCUGCCCGCGCGCGCUGGGGAGCUCGGGCAGCCUGGAGCUCUAGACUCCUCAGCUGCUUCCGCCCAGGAAGAGCUGUCACCAACCUCCCCGCCGCGCCGGCGACCCGGGCCAGACUGCAGGGCCGGGAGCCGGGGCCGCCACGGCCUCGGCGCCGGCCUUGGUGGCCCCGGAGCCCGGCUGUUCGGGUGGCUGAGAGAGCGCAGCCUGGGCCGCGGACUGUUCGUGGACCCGGCGCGGGACAAUUUCCGCACCAUGACUAACCUCUAUGGUUCCAUCCAUCCCGCGGACUCGGUGUACCUCAGUACCCGCACCCACGGCGCGGUCUUCAACCUCGAGUACUCGCCCGACGGGUCGGUGCUGACUGUUGCUUGUGAACAGACUGAAGUUCUGCUUUUUGACCCUAUAUCUUCAAAGCACAUAAAAACACUUUCUGAAGCUCAUGAAGACUGUGUAAAUAAUAUCAGAUUUCUUGAUAACCGGCUGUUUGCUACCUGCUCUGAUGACACUACAAUAGCACUAUGGGAUCUGAGAAAACUGAACACCAAAGUAUGCACUUUACAUGGUCACACUAGCUGGGUGAAGAACAUCGAAUAUGAUACUAAUACAAGACUCUUAGUAACAUCAGGAUUUGAUGGAAAUGUCAUUAUUUGGGACACCAACAGGUGUACAGAAGAUGGGUGUCCACAUAAGAAAUUCUUCCACACACGUUUUCUCAUGCGAAUGAGAUUAACCACCAGAUUGUUCCAAAUGUUGAUCUCAACGUCCUCUGGAUAUCUCUUGAUUUUGCAUGAUCUUGACUUAACCAAGUCUUUAGAAGUAGGCAGCUAUCCCAUUUUGAGAGCAAGAAGAACUACAUCAAGUUCAGAUCUGACUACUUCAUCAAGUUCAUCUGGUCCUCGAGUUUCUAGUUCACCUUGUCAUCAUAGUGAUUCUAAUUCAUCUUCUGAGAAACACAUGUCACGAGCCUCACAAAGAGAAGGAGUUUCACCACGAAAUAGUCUUGAAGUCUUAACCCCUGAAGUUCCUGGUGAGAGAGACCGUGGAAACUGCAUCACGUCCUUACAGCUGCACCCAAAGGGCUGGGCCACUCUCCUUCGGUGCUCAAGCAACACUGAUGAUCAGGAGUGGACUUGUGUCUAUGAAUUCCAAGAAGGAGCUCCCGUGCGACCUGUCUCACCUCGCUGUUCUCUACGACUAACUCAUUACAUUGAAGAAGCCAAUGUAGGCAGGGGUUAUAUCAAAGAACUUUGCUUCAGCCCUGAUGGGCGAAUGGUCUCUUCCCCACAUGGCUACGGGAUUCGCUUGUUGGGAUUUGACAAACAGUGCAGUGAACUUAUAGACUGUUUGCCCAAAGAAGCCAGUCCCCUGCGGGUGAUCCGUUCUCUGUACUCUCAUAAUGACGUGGUACUGACGACGAAGUUCUCUCCAACACAUUGUCAGAUUGCCUCAGGGUGCCUUAGCGGACGGGUUUCUUUGUAUCAGCCAAAGUUUUAGGCACAACUUACAUCAAAUAAGGAACUCUUCUGGUGUUUGACUCAUAAAUUACUUCAAUUUAGGUGAAGUAUUUCCUUUUUAGAAGAUCUUAAAAGUUUGGGUCAAGAUCCCGGUUAUUAUGGGUCCACGAACACAACUGUGACCUGAGGACUUGGCUGUCCGGUAUCGUAGGGGCCUUGCCAAGUUAGACUCUACGCAGCAGCAGCUUUUGCCGCAUUCCUCUGCUCCUGUGCCGCCUAAACUUCAGUUCUUCUGGUUAUUUUGCAUGGUAGCUCUUGUCAAAUUUCUUCAUUUCUUUCCUUGUUUUUUUUAUUUCGGUGUGAAUUUCGUGGGCGUCUGGCAGGAGUUAUGGCGGGGUUAGGAGGAACCCGUGACACUAUAUUGAAUAAACCCAGAAGUCCCAUGUCAGCAUACUGGUCAUUAAAAAAGAAAUUCCAUCUUAUCAGUAUACUUGGCCUUUUAAAGUUGCUGUUAUGUUUCUCUAUAAUGAGCACAGAUAAUGGCAUUAUUCUCGUAACUGUUAGUCUUACAACAAAAAUGUCUUUUGAGUUUCCUGUUAAAAUUAUACAUAUUUUUUCACCGUGAAGGGAAUUUUAUUGUAAAACCCUAGAAAAAUAACUGCCACCUCUCUUUGUAAUUUACUUGUAUGAAUUUAAAAAUCUCUAGCAUGUGUCCUUACUUGGUAUUUUGUUCCUCUCAACAGCAUUUAGAAAGGAAAACAGGAGAAGGAGUGGGCUUUGGUCAUUUCUGUUGUAUACAGGAGGAUUCGUUGAGUUAGUACACUAUCUGGUCAGAGUGAUGAGAACCAUGUGGCUUAGAAUUUGUUUUCUCUGCCAGACUGACUCACACAGGGUGACUUGUUAUGGUAUUAGGGUGGAGGGGAGAUUGAGAGGAAAGAGGUGGUAUUUUCUUCAUCUUUACUCCUUGAGCCAGGGGGCACAAGCUUGACCCUUAGCAUUAGGGAGGGGUGAGCUGCAGUCCUCUGCAAGCCGUGACCUAACUAUAGUAGUCAGUGACUUGGAUGUCAAGACAAAGAGCUGACGUGAAGACCUCUUAUAUUCUGUUAUGGAACACAGCAAGCUGGGUCAGUCACAGGGCUGACUGGCCUGCUGAAGUAAGCAGCUUUCUUCUGGUCUCCACUUGGAAUGAUAUUAUAUUUAGGAAAGGAUCCACCAGAGGCUGGAGUAAUUUAAGCCACAUGCUAGCUCGUUCCCUCUCAGAUCACAUUCUCUUAGGCCAGUGGUUCUCAGAUAAUAGGGUGCGUUACAGUUAUUUAGGAGCUUGUGGAAAACAGAAACCUGGCCCUCACCUUAGGAGGUUCUGAUUCCGUCAGGGAGAUGACAGGAAUCUGUUUUUUGGUUUGUUUGGUUUUUUUUUUAGGAAUCUGUUUUUAAUAGGAACCUCUAGUAACCUUAUUCAGGUGGUUCCUAGAUCAGAGUUAGAAAAACACUACCUUAAACAUCAGUAAGUACUUCCAUACCUUUCAGGUGGUUAACUCCCAGAAGGUGUUUUAAUUAUUUAAAAAAAUAGUAAAUGAAAUCCAUUUUAGAGGUAGAAAAUGUAAUCAAUCUCAUCAUCAAAUGAAUGAGAAAAGUUAAGUGACUUGCCUAAAGUCGUCUUACAAAAUUAGUGGCAGAGCCAGAACUUGAAUUCAAGUCUCCUAAUUCCUUGCUCAGGGCAAUUUCUACUGUAUUAUGCUAGCUGUUAAAACAAUGAUUUAUGAACACUUUAUCUUGUCUUUAAGUUGUAUUAUUGUGACUACCCUUAAACUGGCUGAUAGAUUGAAAAACGCAAGGGAGUAGAUGCUGAGAAUUCCGGCCCUAAGAAAAGAAUCCCAAAUCUUAAUAGAAAUAUUUAAGCAACCCAAAUACAUGAAUAAAAAUGACAUUUUUUUUUUUGCAGGACCUACCAGACAGCCAUUCACACAUGUGUGCAGAGGUUACAUACAUCUCCCUUGGAACAAUCUUGGCUCUAGGACAAAUUUUAACAAUUAUAUCAUUUUACCAUGGAUGUUAAAAAGAAUUUGAAAUUUUUUAGCCAUCAAGAAAAUUACUACAAAGUAUAAUGUAAACAUUGGUUUGCCAUAAAUUUUUUUAAACACCCACAUAUGUAAAGGAAAAUAAAGUUGUGGAGGCAAAAGUACCCAAUCUUAACAUUCAAAACAAGCUACUGAGUACAGCGCUUCUAUUGAUGAAACAAAGAUUCCGUAUAUCGCAACCCCUCUGGAGAGAGUUGAAUGUCGGAUGCUAGACCCACGUGUUGCCCAACUCAGUUUCAGUCCAUGAUUCUUCAACCAUUAUAGUUUCUAUGGUGUCAGUCUACACACUCUACUACUAACCCUCACUCACAAAUUACCUUGCAAGUCUCCACGUGCCUACCUCUAACAGGCUGGCAUACGCACUGUGUUCAUCUGUUCCGAGCUGGGACAGGAGAUCACCAGGCCCGCUUAGCGUCUAAAGAGCUGCACAAGCCCUGCGUGCACAGUCUCUGGGACCACAGCUCUCUGACAGGUUCACCAUAACCCGGGGAAAGCCUAGGUUAGUGAUCGUUUCAGCUACCGCCAAGGAAGAUACCAUGGACAAAGGAUGCUGCUAGAUGAAGGGAUGAACGGCAAUGCGCCCAAGUACAGCCAAGUAACAACAAAGGCUCUGUAUUUGCACAAGGAUCCUUCAUAUUUGUUUUUUAAAAAAGAAGAAUGGGGGGAGGGGAAACAAUAAAAAUAAAUCCAGAUAGACUUAAAUAUUUUUGAUGCCAUUAAACUUGGUCAAUAGCCAUUAAAAUACAUGCUUAAAUUACCACACACGGUUACAAAGGCAAUUUUCAUCUCAUUACAGAAUAAGAUCAUACCAAAUUUAUACCCCAAGAAUUUCUCCUGUUCAAAUGACAACGGAAAUAAUCAAAAGGAAAGUCUCAAAUUUACCUGUAUGCCGCUUUAGUUUUAAAUGAAUUAAUAAUGGAAAUACCAGUUUUAUCAAAAGCUCCAAGGAACACAUCUCACAUAUGCACAACUUGUAUAUGUAUGUGUAUAUAAAUGUUACUAUAAAUGAAAUGUCAUCCAGAGACAAUAAAAUAAUUUUAAAUUUUAAA